AUUGAACGCUGGCGGCAGGCUUAACACAUGCAAGUCGAACGAGUGGCGGACGGGUGAGUAAUGAUUGGGAAUCUGGCUUAUGGAGGGGGAUAACGACGGGAAACUGUAGCUACUACCGCGUACCAUAGGAUGAGCCCAAGUGGGAUUAGGUAGUUGGUGGGGUAAUGGCUGACCAAGCCGACUAUCUCUAGCUGGUCUGAGAGGAUGACCAGCCACACGGGGACUGAGACACGGCCCGGACUCCUACGGGAGGCAGCAGUGGGGAAUAUUGCGCAAUGGGGGCAACCUGACGCAGCCAUGCCGCGUGAAUGAAGAAGGCCUUCGGGUUGUAAAGUUCUUUCGGUGACGAGGCGUUAAUCACAGAAGAAGCACCGGCUAACUCCGUGCCAGCCGCCGCGGUAAUUC
rnacentral:rRNA from 1 species